ensembl:lncRNA
GUCAUACCACCUUCGAAGUUCCAUAAAGCAUUAGAGUAACCAUCUCUGCCUUUGGAGUUGUGCUGAGGGCCGGAUGACGUCAUGGAUGUGCGUCCCUUGGCAGAUUAUCCAGCACAGUGCUGCUGCUAGAGGGAGCAUGUUUACGGCUCUGGUUUACUUCAUCUGGGAUUGUUGCCACGGAGGGCCAGAAAUCAAGCAUGACAUGAAGAAAGAAACACUUCUGGGAACCUCACAUGCCUGGCCGCCCUGUUUCAGGACACUCAGAAACUAGGGUUGUAAUUCCACACAUACAUUUCCCGCCCUGUGGAGUUUCCUGCCUGUUUUGAAGCAGCUAAACUUUGCCUCUCUGUAGAUCCAUAAUCAGGAAUGUUUAAGCCCAUCUCUGUAGGUGCUGGAUUCUCUUCAGCACUAUUCAGAAAACUUCAGCCGACCCACCUCCUGUCCACCAGGUGCUGAAAGUCUGAAACCACACUCCAGGAGAAGAGUUCUGAGUGCAGGCCUGUUCCUGCCACCCCCGUGUGCAGUGUUAACUCAGGACUGGGAAGGUGCCCUGUGCCAGCCGGGGUGAUGCCACCUCCUGCUCUGCUGAGAAGAUGAAGACCGUUC